rnacentral:rRNA from 1 species
AGAGUUGAUCAUGGCUCAGGAUGAACGCUGGCGGCGUGCCUAAUACAUGCAAGUCGAACGAGGUAGCAAUACCGAGUGGCGAACGGGUGAGUAACACGUAGGUAACCUGCCCUUAAGCUUGGGAUACCCAGAGGAAACUUGGCUAAUACCGGAUAACAACAGAGAAGGCAUCUUCUUUGCUUGAAAGGCCCCUUCAAGGGUCACUUAAGGAUGGACCUGCGGCGCAUUAGCUAGUUGGUGAGAUAACAGCCCACCAAGGCGAGGAUGCGUAGCCGAACUGAGAGGUUGAUCGGCCACAUUGGAACUGAGACACGGUCCAAACUCCUACGGGAGGCAGCAGUAAGGAGUUUUCGGCAAUGGGGGAAACCCUGACCGAGCAACGCCGCGUGAGCGAUGACGGUCCUUUGGGAAUUGUAAAGCUCUGUUGUAAGCCAUGAAUGACAGCUUGAGGAAAUGCAAGUUGUUUGACGACAGCUUACCAGAAAGCCACGGCUAACUACGUGCCAGCCGCUGC